AACGAACGCUGGCGGCAUGCCUAACACAUGCAAGUCGAACGAGACCUUCGGGUCUAGUGGCGCACGGGUGCGUAACGCGUGGGAACCUGCCCUUAGGUUCGGAAUAACUCCCCGAAAGGGGUGCUAAUACCGGAUAAUGUCUUCGGACCAAAGAUUUAUCGCCUUUGGAUGGGUCCGCGUUGGAUUAGCUAGUUGGUAGGGUAAAAGCCUACCAAGGCGACGAUCCAUAGCUGGUCUGAGAGGAUGAUCAGCCACACUGGGACUGAGACACGGCCCAGACUCCUACGGGAGGCAGCAGUGGGGAAUAUUGGACAAUGGGCGAAAGCCUGAUCCAGCAAUGCCGCGUGAGUGAUGAAGGCCUUAGGGUUGUAAAGCUCUUUUGCCCGGGAUGAUAAUGACAGUACCGGGAGAAUAAGCUCCGGCUAACUCCGUG
rnacentral:rRNA from 1 species